rnacentral:rRNA from 1 species
GACGAACGCUGGCGGCGUGCUUAACACAUGCAAGUCGAACGGAAAGGCCCUGCUGUUGUGGUGUGCUCGAGUGGCGAACGGGAGAGUAACACGUGAUUAACCUGCCCUUGACUUUGCUAUAACUUCAGGGAACUAAUGCUAAUACCUGACAGCUGCUCCCGCUGCAGGGUGGGGGAUGGGUUGUUUUGGCGGUAGGGGAUGGACUCGCGGCAUAUCAGCUUGUUGGUGGGGUAGUGGCUUACCAAGGCCAGGACGGGUAGCCGGCCUGAGAGGGUGACCGGCCACACUGGGACUGAGACACGGCCCAGACUCCUACGGGAGGCAGCAGUGGGGAAUAUUGCACAAUGGGCGGAAGCCUGAUGCAGCAACGCCGCGUGCGGGAUGACGGCCUUCGGGUUGUAAACCGCUUUCGCCUGGGACGAAGCGUGAGUGACGGUAAUGGGUAAAGAAGCACCGGCUAACUACGUG